rnacentral:ncRNA from 1 species
ACUGUCGUCAGCUCGUGCCGUGAGGUGUCGGCUUAAGUGCCAUAACGAGCGCAACCCUGACUGUCAGUUGCUAACAGGUUAAGCUGAGGACUCUGGCGGGACUGCCGGCGUAAGCUGUGAGGAAGGUUGGGAUGACGUCAAAUCA